rnacentral:rRNA from 1 species
UUUAACGGCCGCGGUAUCCUAACCGUGCAAAGGUAGCACAAUCACUUGUCCCCUAAAUAGGGACUAGAAUGAACGGUUAAAUGAGGACCAACCUGUCUCUUAAAGAAAAUCAGUAAAACUGAACUUCCAGUACAAAUGCUGGAAUAAACCUAUAAGACGAGAAGACCCUGUGGAGCUUUAAAACUACGACGAACCAUAUAAUCGUCCUAAGAUUUUUAGUUGGGGCAACUUUGGAAACAAAAAAAACUUCCAAGCACAGGGCCAAAAACCUAUAACAGGCCAACAAGCCUAAUUUAAACCACUGACCCGGUUAAUACAACCGAAAAACGAACCAAGUUACCCCAGGGAUAACAGCGCUAUCUUCUUUCAGAGUCCAUAUCAACAAGAAGGUUUACGACCUCGAUGUUGGAUCAGGACACCCAAAUGGUGCAGCCGCUAUUAAUGGUUCGUUUGUUCAACGAUUAAAGUCCUACGUGAUC